rnacentral:rRNA from 1 species
UACGUAGGGUGCGAGCGUUGUCCGGAAUUAUUGGGCGUAAAGAGCUCGUAGGCGGUCUGUCGCGUCGAUCGUGAAAACUUGGGGCUUAACCCUGAGCUUGCGGUCGAUACGGGCAUGACUGGAGUUCGGCAGGGGAGACUGGGAUUCCUGGUGUAGCGGUGAAAUGCGCAGAUAUCAGGAGGAACACCGGUGGCGAAGGCGGUUCUCUGGGCCUUACCUGACGCUGAGGAGCGAAAGCGUGGGGAGCAAACAGG